rnacentral:rRNA from 1 species
GGAUGAACGCUAGCUACAGGCUUAACACAUGCAAGUCGAGGGGAAACGGCAUUUAGUGCUUGCACUGAAUGGACGUCGACCGGCGCACGGGUGAGUAACGCGUAUCCAACCUUCCCAUUACUGUGGGAUAACCUGCCGAAAGGCAGACUAAUACCGCAAAGUCUUCGAUGACGGCAUCAGAUUUGAAGUAAAGAUUUAUCGGUAAUGGAUGGGGAUGCGUCUGAUUAGCUUGUUGGCGGGGUAACGGCCCACCAAGGCGACGAUCAGUAGGGGUUCUGAGAGGAAGGUCCCCCACAUUGGAACUGAGACACGGUCCAAACUCCUACGGGAGGCAGCAGAGAGGAAUAUUGGUCAAUGGACGUAAGUCUGAACCAGCCAAGUAGCGUGCAGGAUGACGGCCCUAUGGGUUGUAAACUGCUUUUGUAUGGGGAUAAAGUCAGUCACGUGUGAUUGUUUGCAGGUACCAUACGAAUAAGGACCGGCUAAUUCCGUGCCAGCAGCCGCGGUAAUACGGAAGGUCCAGGCGUUAUCCGGAUUUAUUGGGUUUAAAGGGAGCGUAGGCUGGAUAUUAAGUGUGUUGUGAAAUGUAGACGCUCAACGUCUGACUUGCAGCGCAUACUGGUUUCCUUGAGUACGCACAACGUUGGCGGAAUUCGUCGUGUAGCGGUGAAAUGCUUAGAUAUGACGAAGAACUCCGAUUGCGAAGGCAGCUGACGGGAGCGCAACUGACGCUUAAGCUCGAAGGUGCGGGUAUCAAACAGGAUUAGAUACCCUGGUAGUCCGCACAGUAAACGAUGGAUGCCCGCUGUUGGUACCUGGUAUCAGCGGCU